UACGGGGGGGGGCAAGCGUUGUUCGGAAUUACUGGGCGUAAAGGGCUCGUAGGCGGCCAACUAAGUCAGACGUGAAAUCCCUCGGCUUAACCGGGGAACUGCGUCUGAUACUGGAUGGCUGGAGUUUGGGAGAGGGAUGCGGAAUUCCAGGUGUAGCGGUGAAAUGCGUAGAUAUCUGGAGGAACACCGGUGGCGAAGGCGGCAUCCUGGACCAACACUGACGCUGAUGAGUGAAAGCCAGGGGAGCAAACGGG
rnacentral:rRNA from 1 species